rnacentral:rRNA from 1 species
UACGGGGGGAGCAAGCGUUGUUCGGAUUUACUGGGCGUAAAGGGUGCGUAGGCGGUUCGUCACGUCGGGAGUGAAAACUCGGGGCUUAACCCCGAGCCUGCUUCCGAUACGGGCAGACUAGAGGUAGGCAGGGGAGAGCGGAACUCCUGGUGUAGCGGUGGAAUGCGCAGAUAUCAGGAAGAACACCGGUGGCGAAGGCGGCUCUCUGGGCCUUACCUGACGCUGAGGAGCGAAAGCGUGGGUAGCGAACAGG